rnacentral:rRNA from 1 species
CCUACGGGAGGCAGCAGUGAGGAAUAUUGGUCAAUGGACGAGAGUCUGAACCAGCCAAGUAGCGUGAAGGAUGACUGCCCUAUGGGUUGUAAACUUUUUUUAUAUGGGAAUAAAAUGUUCCACGUGUGGGAUUUUGUAUGUACCAUAUGAAUAAGGAUCGGCUAACCUCGGGCCAGCAGCCGCGGUAAUACGGAGGAUCCGAGCGUUAUCCGGAUUUAUUGGGUUUAAAGGGAGCGUAGGUGGAUUGUUAAGUCAGUUGUGAAAGUUUGCGGCUCAACCGUAAAAUUGCAGUUGAAACUGGCAGUCUUGAGUACAGUAGAGGUGGGCGGAAUUCGUGGUGUAGCGGUGAAAUGCUUAGAUAUCACGAAGAACUCCGAUUGCGAAGGCAGUUCACUGGACUGCAACUGACACUGAGGCUCGAAAGUGUGGGUAUCAAACAGGAUUAGAUACCCCGAGUAGUC